CUGCAGUCAAUUAAGCCGACCGUGCUCUUUUCCCCAUGGGAGCAUGGUGUGCAGUGGCUGCGAACAGCAGCCUCCUUGGUAGUGUAUGCAGCCUGUUGCUUGGUAUGGGUUGCCCUAAGGGACCUUGGAGACAGCC